rnacentral:rRNA from 1 species
UACGUAGGGGGCAAGCGUUGUCCGGAUUUAUUGGGCGUAAAGGGCGCGUAGGCGCCUGGCAAGUGGAUGGUGAAAUCCCUCGGCUUAACCGAGGAACUGCCAUCCAGACUGCUUGGCUUGAGACCGGGAGAGGUGAGUGGAAUUCCCAGUGUAGCGGUGAAAUGCGUAGAUAUUGGGAGGAACACCAGUGGCGAAGGCGGCUCACUGGACCGGUACUGACGCUGAUGCGCGAAAG